UUACUACUCCCUCCGUUCCAAAAAUUUUGUCUUAUAUUUUUCUAGAUACGAAUGUAUCUAAUCAUGUUUUAGUAUUAGAUACAUCCGUAUCUAGACAAAUGUAAGACAAUAAUUUCGGGACGGAGGAAGUAUUUU
rnacentral:pre_miRNA from 1 species